ACCGAAAAAUUUUUUUCCGGAAUUUGUUUUGGCGACCCCCCCCCCGUCGCCAAAAAAAUUUCGGUCAGUGUACCAUUUUAGGGGUCAAAAAUUUUUUCCGGACAUACCAAAAUUUUCCGGAACCUAACAAAAAUUUUGGAAACAUCACUAAAUUGACCACAAAAUUUACAGAAUUUGUCCAAUUUAUUUUUUUAAUAAACCAAAAUUGCCCGACUGUUCAGCGAAUAUUGCCCGACUGCCCAACAAACUGGACGGGCUGCCGCCCCCCCCCCCCCGCCCGGUACGCCCAUGGCAGCGAGACAAAUAUCGUCUUUACAUAAAGUUGAAGACCGGCAUUAAUAAGCUUGUAGCAACUUGUUGCGAACUGCAGCCUGUAUUGGUCUUGUUGGAACAACUUGUGGCAAGUGGAUCUGUUACCGUUAUCAACCUUGUCAAGCCGGUGACAAGAAAGUGUUCCAGAUAUGUCACAACAACUGGGAACAGGCAGUGCAAACACAUCCUGCCGUAUCGUUUUGACAACAACUUUGUUACAAUUUGUUUACAGAUCGAUCUGCAUCAACUUGCACGUUUUUACGUGUGUAGUUCAUAUUCAAUUUCUCAAUUUCAUUAUAGUCUUCUCCUUCGGAUCUUCUUGUGAGUCUAUAUGUAGUUAAUUAGAUAGUAUUUGAUACUUGAUUUCAACAAUUUAGCGUGGCUAGCUAGUCAGUACCGCGGUAUUUGUUGAUCUCUACUACUUUACUGACUCGUGUCAUUCUCUCAUUCACUCAAGCGAGUAUAGUAAUUUCCUAAGAUACCUUCACAACCUCGUUCCAGACCUUUUCCGCCCGGUUUUGGUAAGUACGUACUUUUUCCCAAUUGCAUUGAAAUAAGCAAAUCGGAGUCUCGACUGCGCCGCUGUUCUGUGAUAGAACGCGACAUUGUUAAUCGCAAAAUCUGAGAAUACUGUAAGUCGUUGUAAUGUUGGCCUGAUUUCAGUUACUGCCUAUUCUGCAUUUUCACUAUUUGUACAUCGGUUAGUUAGUUUUAAGACAUUUGUCCAUUUACCUCUAUAGGAACAAAUGAAAAUUCAGAAUAGGCAGUAAGUUAAACCAGGCAAAUAUUACACUAAAUAUUUCUGCAGACUUUGUUACCCUGCAACCAUGAGAAAUUGAGGCAGAUAAUACCGAGUAAUGUCAUUUACUGUUUAAUGCUGCAGAAGCCAUGUUUCAACGGAUUAUGCAUCGAUGAUAUUUAACUUAGUAAGAAAGUAGAAUAAUUAUGCCCGUGAUUCCUGGCCAUUGGAUGUGCAGUCGAAAUCUCAUAUGAUAUGGUGGAAAACUCCUUCAAAAACAUGUAGAGAAACGUAUUCAUUGAAGGAUUUUAUAUUCGUUAUGGUGUUCAUUGUUCUAUUUUGCAGGUUGUUUAAAUGAAAUAUUGUGCUCGACAAAAAUUAUUAGAAGUCGACGAAAAUUGAGACAUCUGUCGUUGGGAAAUAAAUUCAAAUA